rnacentral:rRNA from 1 species
CAAUAUAAGAGGUCCAGCCUGCCCAGUGACUUUUGUUUAACGGCCGCGGUAUCCUAACCGUGCGAAGGUAGCGUAAUCACUUGUUCUUUAAAUAAGGACUAGUAUGAAUGGCAUCACGAGGGUUAUACUGUCUCCUUUUUCUAAUCAGUGAAACUAAUCUCCCCGUGAAGAAGCGGGGGUAGUAAUAUAAGACGAGAAGACCCUAUGGAGCUUUAAACUAAACAACACUUGCUUUACUAAAUUUUAAAUUUCAGAAGAAAGACUCAUUUAACAAGAUGAUUGUAAGUUUUAGGUUGGGGUGACCAUGGAGUAAAAAUUAACCUCCAUGCUGAAAUAACAUUUAAUGUUUUAUCCACGAGCUACUGCUCUAAGCAUCAACAUAUUGACAUCUAUUGACCCAAUUAUUUGAUCAACGAACCAAGUUACCCUAGGGAUAACAGCGCAAUCCACUUCAAGAGCUCAUAUCGACAAGUGGGUUUACGACCUCGAUGUUGGAUCAGGGUAUCCCAGUGGUGCAGCCGCUACUAAAGGUUCGUUUGUUCAACGAUUAA